GCCAGGCAUGGUGGCACAUGCCUGUAAUUCCAGCAGCUCUGGAGGCUGAGACAGGAGCAUGGAGCCUCAGCAGCAUGGAGGUGCUAAGCAACUCAGUGACACCCUGUCUCUA
rnacentral:sRNA from 1 species